UACGUAGGGUGCGAGCGUUGUCCGGAAUUAUUGGGCGUAAAGGGCUCGUAGGCGGUUUGUCGCGUCGGAGUGAAAUCCACUGGCUUAACUGGUGGCUUGCUUCGAUACGGGCAGACUGGAGGUAUGCAGGGGAGAACGGAAUUCCUGGUGUAGCGGUGAAAUGCGCAGAUAUCAGGAGGAACACCGGUGGCGAAGGCGGUCUCUGGGCAUGUCCUGACGCUGAGGAGCGAAAGUGUGGGAGCGAACAGG
rnacentral:rRNA from 1 species